CAUAAAGUCUACUGGUUAGGGUUCCUGGUUUUCACCCAGGCAGCCCGGGUUCGGCUCCCGGUGUG
rnacentral:tRNA from 1 species